AUCAGGGGCCUUAGUCUGCUAUUACAAUUGUGUCGGAAUGGUCGAUCAUUGAUCAUUGCAAGAGGGGCGGAGCUAUGUAGGUUGUAUAGCUCUGUCCCUCUUGCACUGCUCAAUGUCGACCAUUCUGACACAAUUGUAAUAGCAGACUAAGGCCCCUGAU
rnacentral:pre_miRNA from 1 species